UUAGUCUCAGAGUCUUCAUUCUGGGAGCAGGACUGGGAAAGAAAAAAAUGGAUUUAUUUUUAUUACAAAGUGCCUCCUGCAAAGAAAAGAUGUGGGAGAAACAACCCAGGCAGCAGGCUGGCAGGCAGAGACUAUGGCUGUCCUUCAAGGGAUGGUAUCACUGGGACGCUCCUUCGAAUGCCAUCACAGGAGUGAGCACUAAGCUGGAGGAAGAGGUGAACUGGCUGAGUGAUGAGCUCGGGCUACCUGAGAGACUUUGUAAAUGCUUUAACAUCUGGCUCUGCGUCACCACCGGGAUGAAUCCCAUACUGCUGUAGGCCGAGGAGUGGGUUGGUCCAUCAUGCAAACCAAGCACAACUGCAAAGGAGGCCUCCUCUUCACCCUGACCACAGACCCUAUUGUCCAUGUGUGGUACUCUGCGAAUGGCAAGAGGCUAGGCACCUACGUGGAGCUGUGUGGAGUGCGGAUGUUGACUGGAACACUACUCAUGUCCCUCCUGGCUCAGUUGACAACAGCUGUUGUCUCUGGGAUUGUGAAACAGGGAAGCAGUUGGUUCCACUCAGGACCAACUCAGCUGUCCGAGCCUGUGGCAUUGACUUUCAGGGGAAUAUUAUCAUGUUCUUCACAGACACAAAGAUGGCCUACCAAUGUUUUGUGAGCUUCUUUGAUCUAUGGGAUCUGAGCCAAAUCAACAGCAAUGAGCCCUACAUGAAGAUGCCCAGCAAGAUUCCAAGAUCACCGUGCUGUUUGGGGACCCCUGGGGACACACAUCAUUGAAAGCCAUGAGAGUAGAAAGAGCUCAGCCAACACAGUGCCAAGUCUAGAGAGGUCUUGGUUAAUGUUAAAGAGCACCAUGGCAGGUCACUGUCAUCCAGUUGUCUAGAGGCAUGACCAUGUGUGUCACCACAUCCAAGGACAGCACAGCCAAGCAACUUGACUCCAUAAGUCUUGACUAUCAGGAGACUUUCCAAACACAAUGUUCCAUCAACUCCACUACUCUCUCUCUCAUCUGUGACCAUGUGGUACUGGAAAGGUGUCAGGAAGCCAGAGAUAAAACCACAGCCUCCACCAGGAUUGACAAGUUUGAGGCCAGGUUCUCCCAGUUGGCAUUUGAAGGAGAGUUUGAAAGCCUCAAGGGCCACUUUGGACCUAUCAACAGUAUUGCCUUGCAUCCUGAUGGCAAGAGCUACAGCCUCAUGGCUAAGCUGGUGAUGUAUGCAUCCACUAUUCCGAGAUGCAUCUCCACAAACAGCAGAGAGGCUGCUCACAGAAGGUUUUAAACGCUGAAAAAUAGUUUGAAAAAAAAAAUGCUUUAACAUCUGGCUUAAGACUGAGUUUGUACUCAUUAUUUUUUCUUUUUAAGGUUUUCUAAGCUAUUUAUAUUUAGUUGUUCAAAGUGAAAUAUAUAAUCAAUUUGUUGAAUGUCAAGCAAGAAAACCAAUGUGUAUAUUUUUAUGAUAAUGAAUCUUCUUAUUCAAACUCAGUCUGUCUUUCUGUCUCUAUUAUUAUUUUUACAUGCUUUGUACCCACAAAUUUUGAUCAGUUCUUAUUAGAUGUAUGCUUAGGUAUUCUGUGUCAAAUUAAAAAUAAACAUUUGUAGUUUCUUGGUU